rnacentral:tRNA from 1 species
UGUAAUUUAGUGUAUAAUGCAUUUGAAUUUUUGAAGUUCAAGGUUAAGUUUAAUUCUUUGAUUUACAA